AAAGCUGCCUCAGUUCCAGUACUUUAUAUUAUUAUCAUUAUUUCUGUUACUAUUUUUCACUUUUCGGGAUGAAAAUGACACUGUUCUUUCUCCCCCUUUUCCUCCUGGCCCUGCUCCCAGGUAUCUUUUCCCAGCUCCGGUUAAAGGAAUCUGGACCAGGCGUGGUGAGCCCAGGAGAGACCCUCAAUCUCACCUGUACAGUCACUGGGGGCUCUGUCACAAGCAGCUAUGGUUGGAACUGGAUACGUCAGACUCCUGGAAAAGGGCUUGAAUGGAUGGGGUACUGGGUUGUGGGCACACAAUAUGCUCCAUCGUUCCAUGACCGAAUCACCAUCUCUGUGGAUGCUUCCCAAACCAAGUAUUUUCUGAGGCUGAGCUCUGUGACGGCAGCAGACACCGCCACAUAUUACUGUGCGAGAGGCACAGUGGGAGAAACUGAAGCAGAGUUGUACAAAAAGGGGGAAGUGGUGAGAAAAUAG